AUGGGGACUGAUAGUGAAAACCCAGUCCUGAGGAAUGUGCUCAUCAGCUUCAACUUGCUCCUGCUGGGCGCUGUCCUCAAGCCUUUUGAGUGCCGGCUGGAGGCGACAACGGAGCCGGCCGAGAGGACAGCGGUGGAUGAGGCGGGUGGCCUUGCCAACUGCAGCCCACCCAUCAAAGAGCAGCCCAUGGUCUUCCACCACAUCUACAACAUCAACAUCCCGCUGGACAGCUGCUGCUCAUCCAUGUUCAAGUCUUCGGGCGAGGAGGUGAGUUCAGAAGACGACCGGCUGGCGGAGUACACGGAGCAGACCUCCGACAGCGAGAGCCAGGUCACCUUCACCCACAGGAUAAACAUGCCCAAGCAGGCCUGCAAGUGCUCCACCUCCCUCCCGUCCCUGCAGGAGCUGCUGAGCAGGAUUGAGAUGCUGGAGAGGGAGGUCUCCAUCCUCCGGGACCAAUGCACCUCCAAUUGCUGCCAAGAAAAUGCAGCCACAGGGCAGCUGGAUUACAUCCCGCAGUGCAGCGGCCACGGGAACUUCAGCCUGGAGUCGUGCAGCUGCGUGUGCAUGGAGGGCUGGGCGGGCAGCAACUGCUCCGAGCCGCUCUGCCCGCGGGGCUGCUCCAGCCGCGGCGUGUGCCUGGAGGGCCAGUGCAUCUGCGACAACGACUACGGGGGCGAGGACUGCUCCCAGCUCCGCUGCCCCGCCGGCUGCGGCUCCCGCGGGCUCUGCGUGGACGGAGAGUGUGUCUGUGAGGAGGGUUUCACCGGCGAGGACUGUUCGCAGCUGCGGUGCCCCCGCGACUGCUCGGGGCGGGGGUACUGCGUGAACGGCACGUGUGUGUGCCAGGAGGGCUUCGCCGGCGAGGACUGCGGGUGGCUGCACUGCCCCAACGCCUGCAGCGGCCGCGGGGUCUGCAGGGACGGGCUCUGCGUCUGCGAGGAAGGCUACGAAGGGCAGGACUGCUCAGCAGUGGCUCCUCCUGAAAACCUGCGAGUGACAGGGAUCAGUGACAGCUCCGUGGAGCUGGCGUGGGACAGCGCCGGGGCAACCACCGAGUACGUGGUGUCGUACCAGCCAGCGGUGCCAGGGGGCACCCAGCUCCAGCAGCGGGUGCCUGGGGACUGGAGCAGCAUCACCAUCACGGAUCUGGAGCCUGGUGUUACCUACAAUGUCAGCAUCUACGCAGUCAUCAGCGAUGUCUUGAGCAUCCCUGUUACCUCCAGGGUGAUGACCAACCUCGCCACGCCGCAGGGGCUGAAGUUCAAGACCAUCACAGAGACGACAGCAGAGGUGCAGUGGGAGCCCUUCUCCUUCCCCUUCGAUGGCUGGGAGAUCAGCUUCAUUCCCAAGAAUAACGAGGGUGGUGUGAUUGCUCAGCUGCCCAGCACUGUCACCACCUUCAACCAGACAGGGCUGAAGCCGGGGGAGGAGUACACUGUCACCGUGGUGGCCCUGAAGGAACAAGCCAGGAGCCCUCCCACCUCCGACAGCGUCUCAACCCUCAUCGACGGCCCGACGCAGAUCCUGGUGCGGGACGUCUCGGACACCGUGGCCUUCGUGGAGUGGACGCCGCCGCGCGCCAAGGUGGACGCCAUCCUGCUGAAGUACGGGCUGGCGGACGGGGAGGGCGGGAGGACCACCUUCCGCCUGCAGCCCCCCCUCAGCCAGUACUCCCUGCAGGCCCUGCGCCCUGGCGCCCGCUACCACCUCGCCGUCAGCGCCCUGCGGGGUGCCAACGAGAGCCGGCCAGCCCUCGCCCAGUUCACCACAGAGAUCGAUGCCCCCAAGAACCUGCGGGUGGGCUCGCGGACACCUGCCAGCCUCGAGCUCGCCUGGGACAACAGCGAGGCCGAGGCCAACAGCUACAGGGUAGUCUACAGCACCCUGGCCGGGGAGCACUACCACGAGGUCCUGGUGCCGCGUGACACCGGUCCCACCACCCGCGCCACCCUUGCAGAUCUGGUGCCGGGAACAGAGUACGGCAUCGGGAUAUCGGCCGUGAUGGACAGCCAGCAGAGCGUGCCGGCCACCAUGAACGCCAGGACUGAGCUUGACAGCCCCCGGGACCUCGUGGUGACAGCCUCCACAGAGACGUCCAUCUCACUGGCGUGGACCAAAGCCACAGGUCCCAUCGACCACUACCGUGUCACCUUCACCCCUGCCUCAGGGAUGGCCUCGGAAGUGACGGUGUCCCGGGACGAGUCACAGCUCACCCUCUCAGAGCUGGAGCCCGGGACGGAGUACACCAUCUCCAUCAUUGCCGAGAGGGGACGGCAGCAGAGCCUGGAGGCCACCGUGGAUGCCUUCACAGGUGUUCGACCCAUCACACAGCUCCACUUCUCCCAGCUGACGUCCUCCAGUGUCAAUGUCACGUGGAGUGACCCAUCCCCACCUGCAGACCGCCUCAUCCUCACCUACAGCCCUCGGGACGCGGAGGAGGCGCAGCAGGUCACCCUGGACGGCACCCGCCGGCACGCCAGCCUGACAGGCCUGCAGCCCUCCACCGAGUACCUGGUGUCCCUGGUGGCCGUGCACGGCGCCGUCAGCUCCGAGCCUGUCGUGGGCUCCAUCACCACAGGGAUCGAUGCACCAAAGGACCUCAGGGUGGGCAAUGUCACCCAGGAGUCCAUGAUGGUCUACUGGAGCCCUCCCAUUGCUGCCUUCGACCACUACAGAAUAUCCUACCGUGCUGGUGAAGGGAGGACAGACAGCACCGCCCUCCCCAAGGAUGUCACCGAGCACACCCUGCACCACCUGGAGCCCGCCACCAAGUACGAGAUCGGGGUGAAGAGCGUGCGGGGCCGGGAGGAGAGCAAGCUGGCCUCCAUCACUGCCUACACAGCCAUGGAUGUCCCCUUGGGGGUCACAGCCACCAACAUCACCCCCACCGAGGCGCUGCUGCAGUGGAACCCGCCGCUGUCGGAGGUGGAGAGCUACGUCCUCAUCCUCACCCGCCAUGCAGUUGCAGGAGAAACAAUUCUCGUGGAUGGAGACAGCCAGGAGUACCAGCUGACCAACCUGCUGCCCAGUACCACUUACAUGGUCUCUAUGUAUGCCACCAGCGGGCCUCUCACCAGCCAGACCAUCAGCACCAACUUCACAACCCUUUUGGAUCCUCCAACAAAUCUGACCGCCAGUGAAGUCACCCGACGGAGCGCCCUGCUCUCCUGGGUUCCUCCCGUGGGAGAGAUCGAGAACUACGUCAUGACCUACAGAUCCCCCGACGGCAGCCGGAAGGCUCCCCACCGCUUUUCUCAUCUGUUGCUCUUGGUGUCUGCCUCCUUCUGGGACCCAUGUACAGGAGCUGAUUGUGGAUGCCGAGGACACGUGGAUCCGCCUGGAGGGGCUGUCGGAGACCACGGAGUACACCGUGCGCCUGCAGGCUGCCCAAAAUGCCGUGCGGAGCGGCGUCAUCUCCACCACCUUCACCACAGGAGGACGUGUGUUCGCAAACCCCCAGGACUGUGCCCAGCACCUGAUGAACGGAGACACCCUGAGCGGUGUCUACACCAUCUCCAUCAACGGGGACCUCAGCCAGAGGGUGCCGGUGUUCUGCGACAUGACCACCGACGGAGGCGGCUGGAUUGUCUUCCAGCGGCGGCAGAACGGGCUGACCGAUUUCUUCCGGAAAUGGGCAGAUUACCGGGUUGGCUUUGGAAACUUGGAGGAUGAGUUCUGGCUGGGCUUGGACAACAUCCACAAGAUCACGUCCCAGGGGCGCUAUGAGCUGCGGAUCGACAUGAGGGAUGGUCAGGAAGCGGCCUACGCCUACUACGACAAGUUCUCCAUCGGCGACGCCCGCAGCCUGUACAAGCUGCGAAUCGGGGACUACAAUGGCACUUCAGGGGACUCCCUCACCUAUCACCAGGGCCGCCCCUUCUCCACCAAGGACAGGGACAACGACGUUGCCGUGACCAACUGUGCCAUGUCCUACAAAGGGGCCUGGUGGUACAAGAAUUGCCACCGCACCAACCUCAACGGCAAGUACGGAGAGUCCCGGCACAGCCAGGGGAUUAACUGGUACCAUUGGAAAGGCCACGAGUUCUCCAUCCCCUUUGUGGAAAUGAAGAUGCGACCUUACAACCACCGUAACGUCUCUGGGAGGAAGCGACGGUCCCUACAGCUCUGAGCCAGCUGAACCCCCUCCUGCCUCCCACCACCUGACCUUUUCUGUCAUUUGUUUGUAUUUUAUAAUAUGAAAAGGGAAAAAAAAAUUACUACUCGUCUGAGAUAGUAACCUGCCCCUCACAAAUACUGGAGGGAACCACGGCACAAGGAAAGGCCGUGGGGAAGGGAAGACCUCAUUGCUUUGCAUUUGUCCCAGAGAAAUACCAAAUUUCCAGUCUCCCUAACCCAAUACUCUGACCCUUAACAUGAGAAGAAAGAGAAAGAGACAGAUUUUUUUGAUAUUUUUUUAAAAGAUGUAGAAAUCCCCAGCAAACCCUGUUAGAACGUUUGUCAUGGGGCUUGUGGCAGGAACCUUCCCCACAGGGACCUUGGUGCGGCCAUUUCCACCCCAGUCAUGGCCAGGGGUGCCCAUCCUCUCCCUGCCUUGUGUCCCCUCCUGGCAGGCAGGUCCCAGGCUUCAUGCCAUCCUGUAGACACAACUCUCCCAGCAGGCAGAGGCCCGUCUCUCCCCUGUGGGCUGCCUCUGAACACAUGGAGACCAAGCGAGGAUGAGCAAAUGCAAGGCUCGCCCCCUCCCCAGUUUUCACAGAUCCCACCCAGAGGGCUUGGCAAAUACCUGCAUAUGUAGGCAAACUCCAGAGAGUCCACAGCUCGUGUGUUGGUCCCACGAGCUAUUGGGACCACAGUCAUCCUUGUGGGCACGGGGUGUAGGGGAACAAGAGCUGCUCCACCAGCCCCAACAUGCAUUAUCCACUCCUCUGAGCUGAAUUCGUCCCGCUCCAGGUGCACGUCAGCCUGGGUUAUGCUGAGCUUGAUGCAGAAGAAAGGACUUAAAUUAGAAGACCUGGGAGAAAAAUCAUUCCUUGUGGCCCUGAAGCCUAGGGCCCAUUUCCUCUGCUAUUUUUACAUUUCUGCCAUGUUCUCUCUUACCAAGGUCAUUGGUCCCAAACCAAAGGGUCUCAGAGAAGGAGCAGCAACCAAAAGUUACCACACAACCACAGCCCAGGCUGAAGCCAACAGCUGUCACAGCCCAGGUGCUCCUGUUCAUGGACCUCCAUGCACACAGGGAAUGAUGACAACGCAGCCAAGGGAAGAGAAGUGCAAGCUGAGGAAUUCACAUUCCCUUCCUUCUCCUACAGCAUCCCUCUUCUAUGCCAUCAGAAGAGGGACACAAAUCUCAGUGCCUUGGUAUCACCAUCUCUCUAACAGGGAAUCAACUGUUUCCCCUCUUGGAAGAAAGGCUUAGUCCAUUCAGAUUUUGGAGCACUUCAAGGCCCUUGGAAGAAUUAAUGAGUUUGCUCUUCCCAUCCUUAACUUCUCCUGUCUCAAGGAAGACGGACCCUUCAGAUAGCUCUGGCUGCGCUCUGUUGCCAUUGACACCACCUCCACAUAGCCCAAAUGGCCACCAUGCUUGAGUCACCCCUCUGCUGAGGGCUCUGAUCAAUGCUGGGCAUUGUCACUGGCCUGGUCUUGGAGAAGGGACGCGUCCCCAUGCCCAAGGACAAUGCAGCUCAUCACUGGGUUCGCAGCCAAGGGAGCAUUACAAAUGCUGAACACUGCGUUUUCUUUUUAUCACACUGAAGCUGCUUUGUCUCAAAAACAUUUUCCAGAUGGCAACAUAAAGGCAUCUUUGCAGUGGGUUAUAAUUCAGGCCAGUGUCUCUUUCACGGCCACGCUCCUGAAUGUUCUGACGUUACUCACCAUGGCUGCAGAGCUGAAGAGGGCCAUUAAGUGGGGAAUGCAGCCUCCUCAUCCGUGCCACGUACCGGCACACGGAAUCACUGCUAACCCCAAGGUCAAGACUAGAUACAGGGUCCAGCCCCCCACGUGGCCAGCUUACAAGCUGCAGUCUGACCUGGAGAGAGGAUGCUGUAGCUCAGCAACAUCUCAUAUGUAAAUGAGGCAUCUCUUCUUACUUCCCAUCAGCAUUAAAUCAGGCAACAAGUCAACCAGCUGAUGAACAGGUCAGUCAGAGGCUGCAGAUGAUGGGAUCUCUUGCAGGACAUGGCCAGUGUCACAGAUGGCAGCAUGUCACACAUCCUGAGCACCCAGCCCUGUUUUAAGUCCCAAGAGCCAACAAAAAGCAGCAGGUAGAACAGACUGAAAACUAAGAAGCCUCCUAGUAGACCAGCAGAGCAAUUUUUCCCAACACCAUCAAGAAUUUAUAGUCAAGAAGUGUCCUAAGCAAAGCUGUACAGUGCAGUGGUUAUAACUAGGAGCAGAGAUUGGCAGUGGAUGGAAUUCAUCACCUGGUUUGGAUGGUGCUGUUUACUUACCUACCCAGGCGAAAGAAAAAGACAUCAGUGGAAACACUGGAGCUCAUCAUUCAUAACCAAGAUGAAGGCAAGAAAACUCUCUUCCCAAAAGUAUGACUCAAACAGAAAAUCAAAGCAUGGCAAGCUUUUCCAGGAGGUUCAAAAGGAGAUCCUCAAAAAGGCUGAUUAUUCACUACACAGGUUUACUGACAUAUAAAAGGGAUGACAGACACAAGGAAGGAGGGAGAGAUACAAGUCCUGUAACCAAGAUGAGUUGGCCCAGUGGACCCAACUCCAUAGCUGAGUAUGAAGGGCACUCUUGGGAGAUAAUAUCCAACCUUCCAAUGCCACAUAUAUAAAGUGCUGGUCCCUGACCUCACACGUGAUUCCAGGGUGUUGUCUUUCCAUUAUCUUGGUAAAACACAGUUGCUUGUGUCUUUUAAAGGAAAGACUUCUACACGUCAUGGUUUUCUCCUGGUGAUAACCCCACCCAAGCCCAGGCACACAAUCAGCAACAAUGACCCAGUCAUUUGGGCCAUUGUCCCUUGUUCACACUGUCCACAAACAAGAUACAGUUUUCCAGAAAUUCAUUUUUCAUCACUACCUGAUGAAUUUUCUUUUUUUUUUUUUUUUGGACAAAGCUCCUGACAGCAGUUUCAAGCAGAUUUGUGCUUAGUGUUGAUGCUACAGAACAGCAGGUGAUUAAGUACAGUUUCUCCUCACCCUCCACCACUCUUUCUCUGAAUUAAUUCUCGAACCAGACAAGUCUGGCCUUGAAAUUCCCAGAAACCAAGCCUGGAUCCUGUGCAGUGCUCAUCUUGAGAGACCUCGGCUCCAGCACGUGAACCAUCACUGGGCUCUGGUGGCUCUGCUGUGCCAUCCUGGGCUCGAGUGGCCCAGGCUUGUCCCAGAGCCCAAAAAGGAACCUGAAGCUAACACCCAAACGACUCUAGCCACUACGAGAUGCCACCUCAUACAACAGGAGGCAGGAAGAAGCACAUCAGAUCCUCCACACAGCAGAACACCACAUGCACCCAGGACCCUCUUGGCUCUUAUUUCUAACCCCAAAAUCCUGUAAGGAAACACCAAGGGACUUGCUCAUCUCUUGCCCAGUUUUCAUUUCCCUCUGUUUCCCUUCUCCAAGCCCACCUUCCAAACGCACACUGCACUAAAACAUAACCAAAGAAAAAAAGAAAUGUCCUGAAAGGAAAAGCUGCUUUUAGCAAAGUGAUCCUUAAGACAGCAAUUUAUAAAUUAAUAAUUUUGAGGAGAGAGGUUAGGCUUUCCCCAAGGGUAGCUGGGUUUUGGCAGGAGGAUACUGUAAGAGUAUCCUCACAAAGGUUGGGGAGAAGCCUUUGCUUCUACUCCUUGUCUUUGCAGUACUUUACCAUGGGCAUCUCAAAGCAUAGUACCAGAUUAAAUGCACCCUUGCCCCAACCUCUUCUCUCCUUCCCAAAUUGAUGCUUACCCCAGGUGAAGUGCCAGGGUGUGGAAAGCCACAGCUCAUGCCACUUUCAUCCCCAGUGGUGUGGCAGGUAAGGGUUCAGCCAAUGGUGUCCCCAUGCCCACAACAGGCUCAGAGUGACCUGCCAAAAUACAUCAGGAGCCAAAAUACCUGCCUGGUGCAUCACCACACCAGCACAUGCCCUUCAUCCCAACCCAGAGCUGCCCUCCUGGUAUGUCCCCACCAUCGCACCUUGGGGUGACCGCACACCCCCUGCCCUGUGCCCCCCAGAAACACCCACAAGUUUUGACUUUACCAGACACUGCCAGCAAAGAGCUCUCACCCAAAAAAUCCUCUUUAAUUCAUGCUUACACCCACUAACAAAGGGCUCUGUCCCGAGGCCAAGGAAGAAGCCCAUCCCUGUUUCUUCAAACCAAGCACCCUGGGAUGGCCAUUAAAUCCAACAGAGCCCCUUGGGGACCACCAGCACCCUCCAGGGUCACCUUCCCCCUUCCUUAAACCCUGAUGGUGGUGGCAGCUCCUUGCCCCUUCCGGAGGGGAGUUUUGGCUUAAGGGGAAGGGAAAGGCCCUUCCCUGGGGAGAUCCCGAUGCCCUGACCCACCUCCAUACCCUGCCUGCAGCUCUCCAGAUGUCCGUGGCUUCUCAGAAAGAGGGUGACACAAAGACCUAAACAAACAAACAAGCAGCCCCCUGUGUUACCCUGGAAACACAUUUAAUAUGUUAAAAAAAAAAUUUAAAACCAUAAAUACGGAGGGAGAACAGAGGCAAUGAAAUGCCUUGGACAGGUUCUGAUGAACUCAAACACAAACCAAUGCAACCAAAUGAGGGGGAAGAGGAAAGCAAAUAAAUGCAUAAAUAAAAUAAAUAAUAUAAAUAAAUAAUAUAUUAAACAACCCUCCCCACCCUGUAAUGAGAACGUAGCUCGGAGAAUGGGAUCGACGCUUGUUAACCAUUGUUAACUAGUAUUUUCAGUCCUGACCGCUCUUAGGCUAUGUAUAGUUCCUUUUUUUAAUGCAUUUUCUAUACAUUAAUAAAAGAUACUGAAGGAGU